ACUACCUAUUCAUGUGACCUGUGGACUUCCCUUUGUCAUCCUAUGCCUGAGGAUAUAUGAAGGGGGCUGGGAAGGCAAAGGGACGUUCAAUUGUCAUCACCGGC
rnacentral:pre_miRNA from 11 species